rnacentral:misc_RNA from 1 species
GUGCAUUCUGGGGCUGUUUUGGCUUUUGGUUGCUUGCUUGACCUUUGUGUUGGGUGGGUGGCUACUAGUUAGACGGUUUCAGGGGAUGUCUACCGUAAAGGUGGAUGAGUGGUGUUUGGUUUGUUACGGGUGGUUGGGUGAUUGCUUGAGCAACAACGUCCACGUGGGCAUACCUCUUCAUUUGUGCGACAAGGCAUCUUUUGCCUUGAGCGUGCUAUGGGUUUCUUGUGUUGCAUACCUACUUGAUGGCAUUGUAUGGUUUGAUUGAAGUCCCUUUUCGUCUUGAUUCGUAUUUACGAGGCGAGGUGAACCAUGUAGUGGACUUUAUGUUCCAUGUUUUUGAUGAUCACUUGUCAAUGUCAUGGGCCAUGAAGAUUUGCUUGGUCUCUUGGAUAUAGAACUUUAUUUGGGCAUUGGGUCUCACAUGAUCUUACAUCUGCCCUUGUUGAGCGUUCUCGCUUCUUUUAAACGACAGUCCGUUGCGUGCAGCUUGUCUGUGCAUGACGGGCUAUGUCGAAGAGGAAUGCUACCUGGUUGAUCCUGCCAGUAGUCAUAUGCUUGUCUCAAAGAUUAAGCCAU